UACGAAGGGGGCUAGCGUUGCUCGGAGUCACUGGGCGUAAAGCGCACGUAGGCGGCUUUCUAAGUCAGGGGUGAAAUCCUGGAGCUCAACUCCAGAACUGCCUUUGAUACUGGAGAGCUUGAGUCCGGAAGAGGUGAGUGGAACUCCGAGUGUAGAGGUGAAAUUCGUAGAUAUUCGGAAGAACACCAGUGGCGAAGGCGGCUCACUGGUCCGGUACUGACGCUGAUGUGCGAAAGCGUGGGGAGCAAACAGG
rnacentral:rRNA from 1 species